rnacentral:lncRNA from 1 species
GAUUGCAUCCAAUAAACUUGUAUGAAGGAAACAUUUCUUGUACCAGAGGGCACCCAAAAGAUGAGGGCCUGCUUUCAUUAAGGCGUAUGGAGACUGAGAUCCCUCUAGUUUGUUUCUUUCUGAAGUGAUGGGUAAAGAAAGAGCCUUUUCUCUGAUGGAAAGCGCAUUGUUUCGGCCUUGGGGCCUUUCAUGAAAGAGA